UACGUAGGGGGCUAGCGUUGUCCGGAAUCACUGGGCUUAAAGCGCGUGUAGGUGGCGGCCUAAGUACCUUGUGAAAUCCUGCGGCUCAACCGCAGAACUGCUUGGUAUACUGGGUCGCUUGAGCCAUCCAGGGGCAACUGGAACAAGCGGUGGAGCGGUGAAAUGCGUAGAUAUCGCUUGGAACGCCAAAGGUGAAAACAGGUUGCUGGGGGAUGCGCUGACACUGAGACGCGAAAGCCAGGGGAGCGAACGGG
rnacentral:rRNA from 1 species